rnacentral:rRNA from 1 species
GCUGGAGCGAAUAGAAGUGAGCAUGCAGGCAUGAGUAGCGAUAAUUAAUGUGAGAAUCAUUAACGCCGUAAACCCAAGGUUUCCUACGCGAUGCUCGUCAUCGUAGGGUUAGUCGGGUCCUAAGUCGAGUCCGAAAGGGGUAGACGAUGGCAAAUUGGUUAAUAUUCCAAUACCAACAUUAGUGUGCGAUGGAAGGACGCUUAGGGCUAAGGGGGCUAGCGGAUGGAAGUGCUAGUCUAAGGUCGUAGGAGGUUAUACAGGCAAAUCCGUAUAACAAUACUCCGAGAACUGAAAGGCUUUUUGAAGUCUUCGGAUGGAUAGAAGAACCCCUGAUGCCAUCGAGCCAAGAAAAGUUUCUAAGUUUAGCUAAUGUUGCCCGUACCGUAAACCGACACAGGUGGGUGGGAUGAGUAUUCUAAGGCGCGUGGAAGAACUCUCUUUAAGGAACUCUGCAAAAUAGCACCGUAUCUUCGGUAUAAGGUGUGGUUCGCUUCGUAUUAGGAUUUACUCCGAAAGCGAAGAAACUUACAACAAAGAGUCCCUCCCGACUGUUUACCAAAAACACAGCACUCUGCUAACUCGUAAGAGGAUGUAUAGGGUGUGACGCCUGCCCGGUGCUCGAAGGUUAAUUGAUGGGGUUAGCAUUAGCGAAGCUCUUGAUCGAAGCCCGAGUAAACGGCGGCCGUAACUAUAACGGUCCUAAGGUAGCGAAAUUCCUUGUCGGUUAAAUACCGACCUGCAUGAAUGGCGUAACGAGAUGGGAGCUGUCUCAAAGAGGGAUCCAGUGAAAUUGUAGUGGAGGUGAAAAUUCCUCCUACCCGCGGCAAGACGGAAAGACCCCGUGGACCUUUACUACAGCUUGACACUGCUAUUUGGAUAAGAAUGUGCAGGAUAGGUGGGAGGCUUUGAGUAUAUGACGCCAGUUGUAUAUGAGCCAUUGUUGAGAUACCACUCUUUCUUAUUUGGGUAGCUAACCAGCUUGAGUUAUCCUCAAGUGGGACAAUGUCUGGUGGGUAGUUUGACUGGGGCGGUCGCCUCCCAAAUAAUAACGGAGGCUUACAAAGGUUGGCUCAGAACGGUUGGAAAUCGUUCGUAGAGUAUAAAGGUAUAAGCCAGCUUAACUGCAAGACAUACAAGUCAAGCAGAGACGAAAGUCGGUCUUAGUGAUCCGGUGGUUCUGUGUGGAAGGGCCAUCGCUCAAAGGAUAAAAGGUACCCCGGGGAUAACAGGCUGAUCUCCCCCAAGAGCUCACAUCGACGGGGAGGUUUGGCACCUCGAUGUCGGCUCAUCGCAUCCUGGGGCUGGAGCAGGUCCCAAGGGUAUGGCUGUUCGCCAUUUAAAGCGGUACGCGAGCUGGGUUCAGAACGUCGUGAGACAGUUCGGUCCCUAUCUGCCGUGGGCGUAAGAAGAUUGAAGAGAUUUGACCCUAGUACGAGAGGACCGGGUUGAACAAACCACUGGUGUAGCUGUUGUUCUGCCAAGAGCAUCGCAGCGUAGCUAAGUUUGGAAAGGAUAAACGCUGAAAGCAUCUAAGCGUGAAGCCAACUCUAAGAUGAAUCUUCUCUAAGCUCUCUAGAAGACUACUAGUUUGAUAGGCUGGGUGUGUAAUGGAUGAAAGUCCUUUAGCUGACCAGUACUAAUAGAGCGUUUGGCUUAUCUUUAAUAAAGCAU